UACGGAGGGAGCAAGCGUUGUCCGGAAUCAUUGGGCGUAAAGCGCGCGUAGGCGGCCCCGUAAGUCCGUUGUGAAAGUCAAAGGCUCAACCUUUGAAAGCCGAUGGAUACUGUGAGGCUAGAGUCCGGAAGAGGCGAGUGGAAUUCCUGGUGUAGCGGUGGAAUGCGCAGAUAUCAGGAGGAACACCAAUAGCGAAGGCAGCUCGCUGGGACGGUACUGACGCUAAGGCGCGAAAGCGUGGGGAGCGAACAGG
rnacentral:rRNA from 1 species